CACUGUUUGUGUCGUUAUAGUCUUUAAGCAAGAGCUUGAAUUCUGUCACAAAGUGCUCAGAUGACUCACAGUUACCUUGCGCCUUCUCGUGAAAUUUAUAUCUAGCAAAUAUAGAGUUUGUUUUCGGAGUGAGCAGGAGGAACUGCACUUUUCCUCUUCAGCUCUGUUUUUAAGCGGUUCCGUGAACAUGAGUUUGGCGUGUUGCUUGAAUCUCCGCCACACAUCUAGUAAAUUGGGUGCGCCAAAACACUGCUGGCCGCCCCCCGGCUGUACGAGCCAGCGAUCGCUGCGGCAUGGCGCCUCCGGAGCUACAAUAAGUAGAUAGAAGCAACCUGCUUUGAUUCAAAGUUUGUAAAACUAAUCUGCAGCCUUUGUCAACAUAUUCAAUUGCUAUAUCUACUACAAAAGGACAGCAUCACCCACAUCUUUAUCAUGACUAAUUGUGCAUGUGCGGCCAGGCACAUCUGGAAACGGGUCAGAAAACUCAAAAAGCAAACGUGACAUUUCUGCUUCCAGCCUAGGAACACCUUGGGAAGCCACCAGAAGAGUUGGAUGAAGUGAUUCAGCAGAAAGAAGUCUGGGCUUCCCUGCUUAAGAUGUUGCCCCCCGCAUCCCCACAUCCAAUUAAUGAAACUAGAUCGAUGGAUGGAUAGAUGGAUGGCUGAAUGGAUAAUAUGUUGUCUUUGCUCAAAAAUUAGACUAGUUAUUAUUGCAGCUAAAUGUCACUUAACCUUCAUGCAGUGUGCAGGGUUUGGUUUACUAUGUUUCAAGAUCAAUCAGCCAAUCAUAUCGCAGCGAUAACAUUACAGUCAAUAAAAAAGCACAUAAACUUUCACUCAUGCUAAAAACACAUUGGCAGGUUUUAAGUGAGUGAAACACAGAAUGGCCGCCAUGCCAGCCUAGCCUCAAGUCAUACAGAUUCUGUAAAUUAUAAAGUAUACAUUUAUUGAUUUUUCAAAAAAUUUAUCAUUUAUAAUAUACCUGUGGAUGAAAAACCAAAACUUGUGGCCCAAAAUGCGACUUACUGCCAAUUUGAUGGGUCUGAUUGGAUCGGAUAUUGCUGAUAGGUUUUGAUGGCAUAAUUUGUUGAUCUCAUCCAUGAGGUCAUCCAUUGAUCAGCUCAGAGAAAGACAUUUACUCCAAAUUGCUGUUGUGCACAGUAUAUCUGGAUCUAAAACCUAGUAGUACUGUAAAUAUCUGACGUCUACGAAGAAAAUAAAAAAAACUGGCGCAAUGGGAGAGACAAGGCAACUGAGAGACAGCACAUA